GAUGAACGCUGGCGGCGUGCUUAACACAUGCAAGUCGAACGAAGUGAUAGGAGCUUGCUCCUAGAACUUAGUGGCGGAAGGGUAAGUAACGCGUGGGUAACCUGCCCUAUGCAGGGGGAUAAAGAUUGGAAACGAACGCUAAUACCGCAUAGACUAUGGACCAUCGCAUGAUGACUGUAGACAAGAGUUUAACGGCAUAUGAUGGACCUGCGUUGGAUUAGCUAGUGGGUGAGAUAACAGCCCACAAAGGCGACGGUCCAUAGCCGGACGGAGAGGGUGAACGGCCAGAUUGGGACGGAGACACGGCCCAAGCUCCUACGGGAGGCGGCAGUAGGGAAUAUUGCACAAUGGGCGAAAGCCUGAUGCAGCUACGGCGCGUGAAGGAAGAAGGUCUUCGGAUUGUAAACUUCUAUCAGCAGUGAAGAAUAAAUGACGGUACCUGACUAAGAAGCUCCGGCUAACUACGUGCCAGCCGCCGCCGUAAAAC
rnacentral:rRNA from 1 species